rnacentral:rRNA from 1 species
GACGAACGCUGGCGGCGUGCUUAACACAUGCAAGUCGAACGGAAAGGCCCUGCUUUUGUGGGGUGCUCGAGUGGCGAACGGGUGAGUAACACGUGAGUAACCUGCCCUUGACUUUGGGAUAACUUCAGGAAACUGGGGCUAAUACCGGAUAGGAGCUCCGGCUGCAUGGUGGGGGUUGGAAAGUUUCGGCGGCUGGGGAUGGACUCGCGGCUUAUCAGCUUGUUGGUGGGGUAGUGGCUUACCAAGGCUUUGACGGGUAGCCGGCCUGAGAGGGUGACCGGCCACAUUGGGACUGAGAUACGGCCCAGACUCCUACGGGAGGCAGCAGUGGGGAAUAUUGCACAAUGGGCGGAAGCCUGAUGCAGCAACGCCGCGUGCGGGAUGACGGCCUUCGGGUUGUAAACCGCUUUCGCCUGUGACGAAGCGUGAGUGGCGGUAAUGGGUAAAGAAGCACCGGCUAACUACGUG